GGAGGGGCGCAAGCGUUGUCCGGAAUUACUGGGCGUAAAGGGGGGCGCAGGCGGGCUUGUUAAGUCCUGUGUGAAGACCCGCGGGCUCAACCGCGGAAUGCCACAGGAUACUGGCGAGCUAGAGACGGGUAGAGGCGAGUGGAAUUCCCGGUGUAGCGGUGGAAUGCGUAGAUAUCGGGAAGAACACCAGUGGCGAAGGCGACUCGCUGGGCCCGUUCUGACGCUCAGGCCCGAAAGCGUGGGGAGCAAACAGGAUUAGAUACCCUGGUAGUCCACGCCGUAAACGAUGGGCACUAGGUGCUGGGGAGUGUGACCUUUUCGGUGCCGUAGCUAACGCGUUAAGUGCCCCGCCUGGGGAGUACGGCCGCAAAGGCUG
rnacentral:rRNA from 1 species